GGAGGUAGGGCCAUCUGCUGAUGACAACAUGCCCAGGCAACCCAAAGAGCAUUUAAAGAGACACAGCCCGUCUCCCAGGACACGCUUAAUUCGCUUGUCGCUUGUCAUUUAAAAGGUACACUUAAAGCUUGAAUUUUUGUAUCCCACUUAUUUGCACGGCUCAAACCCUAAGUGCAAUGCCUCGGACUGGAGUCAGUCCCAGGAACUAUUUGUUUCCACCUCUCACGCCUUCUGCCCAGAGCUUCUCUGGGGACGCGAAGGAAUGUGGACUGCAACUCUGCGGCAUUUACAUCACAGAUUGGAUUCCGUGGAAGUCAAACCAAGUGUUUUUAUUACAAACAAGUCAGCCCAAGGCCAAAUUGGGAAGGACCUUUUGGAUUUCCAAGCCUCCCACCCAAGCCCCAGCCUCCACGCAGGAGAGAGUCCCCAGGUCCCUGUAGGUGGCCCAGGGCCCCCUCUAGUUCCUCUCUCAUUUCAUGACAUUUCACCUUCCUUCUCAGGCCCCAUGGGGCACUCAAGAAGGUGAGGUCUUCCAGGGUGCAAGGAAGUGUCAAGAGAAGGCAGGCUCUCUGUCCAGGGACGCUGGGGACAGGCAGCCCCGCCCCCAGGCGGGUUAGACCAGGAGGAAGCGGUGAGCCGAUGGAUGCCUGGCUUCCCCUCCUGGCCAGACCCUGGCUCAACACGGUGACAACUGCGUCACAUCUGGGGAUUUCCUACCCCAACUCCAUGAGUAGGAAGAUGUGGAGGAUGCAGUUGAUAUCAAAUGCAUCCUGUCAUCGCACAAAACCAAGCCUUCGGGCCCUGAACCAAGAGAAGACAUCCCUUCUCGGGGGACAACCGCCUGUGCUGAGCAAAACAGCGGGAAGAAAAGGCUCUCAGACACGGUCAGAAGGAAAAAAGCAAGAGCUGGAGAACCACACCACGUAGAAGAUGAACAGCAACUGCCUCCCUUCUCUUUUUAAUGUAAGGUAUCUUGUGCAUACAAGAGAGUAGGUCGUGUAGGCUCAGCUUGAAAAAUAUGUAUAAAGCAAAUACCCUUGGAACCAUCAUCAAAGUCAGACACAGAUCAGGGCCAGGGUCUCAGAGGCCCAUCCCUCGUGAGCCCCUCCUGGUCACAGUUUCACGGGAGCAGACGUUGGGGGUGGGGUGGAGAGGAGAGGACCCAGGAGCAGGGAGGUGACGUGCUGGGAGGCGAGAGCAGGGGCGGGUAGCAAUGGCCAAGAGGGUUUUUAAGGACAGAAAGCCUAGUGCUGGUGUUUUAGUUACCUGGGGUUAUAAGGUAGGCUUUUUUCUCCUGUAAGCCUCCAUUUCCAAUAGAACGUGUUUAUGUAUCUGGCAGUGGGGCGGGGGGCGGGGGGGCGCAGAGGGAAAUGGAAGCGACGGGUCCGUCCCAGGUUUGGGCUGAUCCUGCAGCAGAGACCAGGGAGUAUCCCAAGAUGCCGAGAGGAAAAGGAAAAUUCAAAGGACACUGCGCCUCAGAGUUGGGGGAGAACUCGGACACCCCAUGGGGACGUCCAUCCCGGGGAUUCUCCCCACACUUGCAUCCUGACCUCAACUUCCAUAUGGGUCCUGUUCCUUGUCCAGGAGACGGGAGCCCAGGAAAGCCCAGGGAAGGAAAAGCAUAAGGGAAAAGGCACAUCCUCCCUCCCUCCUUCCCUCCCUCCCUCCUUCCUCCCUCCCUCCUUCCUUCCCUCCCUCCUUCCUUCCCUCCCUCUCUCGUUCAGCGGGUGUGUGUUGCAUGCCAGGCGCUGUGAUAGGAGGACUGGGGGUUCCAGUGGGUUGUUCUUGCUGGGGGAGGGGUCUGUGCUCCAGCACUUCUCCCAGCCCCUCCCUUGGGCCUUUGUGGGGAGGGUGUGGGUGACACUUCAGGAGGACGCUCCCCUUUGCCCUUUUGGGGCCUUUGAGCAGCUUAUUUGAGACCUAUGGGAAGUGACUUUGUGCUAAUUCCUCUAGGUAACAUGACACUGUCGCUGUUUCACCUUUUAUGUGUGAGGUGGUGGUGGGGGGGAAGCAAGGGCAUUAGUGGAUACUCAGAGCUAGGCCCCCUCCCUGGCCGUCUGUCUGGAGGCUGUGUAUCCUCGUGCCUGUCUCCUGCAUGCACACUGUCAGAUGCUGGCAGCUGGGGAACAUUCACACGGACCUAAGAGCUAAGGAUGUUGGGGGCCUCUCGAUACAUCGGGGCCCGUUUUGGGACCCAAAUGCAAGAAAAAACCGGACAUCAAGGCCUACAGGAAGAAAAGAAACCUCCAUAAAGAAAUACCAGGAGGACCCCGCUUUUGUUGAUCACAGCUCUCCCUCUGCUUGUUCUGGGAUGUGGGUUGUUACGGAGGUGGGGGAGACUGGACUGGAUUGAAUCUGGGGGAAUUAUUGCCACGUAGAGAACGUCAUUGGCUGCAUGAGCUUUUAUGGAAGUUUACCCUUUGAGCUGGUUUGAGGUACCAGAUUGGCUACUACUGGAAGUAGUUAUAGUCUAAAUCUCAUGAGGUUGGAGAAUCAGGUUAGUUUCCUCCUUCCCCCAAGAUUCCAGGAACUGUUGGGGGGGUGGCAUGGCCAGCAGGCGGGGCCCUCAGUGCUGGAUAAAGCCUCUCUGAUGGGAGGAUGAACAGAUACGGCUUGGAAGAGGCACAUGCUGCCUCACCCAAGUCCCCACCCAGGAGGAAGCAGGAGCUCCACCAGGCCUGAGGGCCGCUGCUCUGGACGGUGGCACCUCUCUAAGGGUCAGUCCUGUGGUCACCAGUGUGUUCACUCCCAAGGAUCUUUAGCAGAACCUGUAUUAGCAGAGGUGCCCCGGGGUCAGCCGAGGUGCUGGAGGCUCAGGAAGACCCCUGGGCAUCGGACCCUCCGAGAUGCUCACUUCUCAGACCUGUUCUUCAGGGCCCUGGGGCACUGCGUUUGCUGUGCACCCUCCCAGGGUGGCGUAGGGACCCUGGACGUCCCUGGAGGUGAGGGUCAGGGCCUGCUGGGAAGGACGAGCAUGACCUGAAAAAGACGCCGGGUUUUGCUCCAGCCGCUGGAACCGAGGUCACGGCAGGAUGUAAAAAAGUUAGGUUCUGCUAACAUUUGGAAGGAAGUAGGAAAACACAAAGCACAGAAACGCCUAAUACCUUGUGCUUUUGAUUCUUUUUUUCCUUUGAGUACCCCUCAAAGCCGUUCACCACUUCAAAACCAACUGUUUCAUCGAACGAAUGUCUGUGCUCUGUGCGAGGCGGGUUGGGGCUUGGAGCUGUGGGAGACACAUCAGAUACAGGCGCCCCCAAGAAGCCGGAAGUCCAACAGGACAGAUAAAAUGGGGUCACAGUUAUUACAACACCAGAGAGAAAGUGAUGAAUAGAGUCCCAACACCCCAUGUAGUUUAGAGGAAAGAGAGGCUUACAGAUGGGGUUACCUGAUAAAAUACGAGAGGCGCAGUUAAAUUCGCGUGUCAGAUAAACAAUGCAUGUUGUGUUAAUAUGUCACAAAUAUCGCUUGGGACCUACUUAUCCUAAAAAAUGAUGCAUCGCGUAGCACUGUCUGUCUGACAUGCAAAAUGUAACUGUGUCCUGGGUUUUCAUGGGCUAAGUCUAUAUACCCUAUUUAUGGAAGAUUUUGUGGAGUAAAUGGCAUUUCAUCUAAGUUUUCACAGAUGCGGGAGACGUGGGUCUGUGGAGAGCCGCGGCUGCCGCACUUCUGCGGGCCCCUCUGAUCCCUGGAGAUGUCCCCCUGCGCACUCGCAGGGAGAAACUCUGCAGCUUCACAAGGGGGCAGGAACUUUGAUUUCUCCUGCUUGUCACCCUGGCUGGCCAAGGGCCAGGAGGGGUGGGUCCAUGUCGCCGUCUAGAAGGGCCGGGUCACACUGAAGUGGCAAAUAAACCCCAGCAUGAGCCGCUCGCGUCCCCGCUCCGGGCCCAGGCUGAGGGCGGGGGAGCGGGAGGGGAGGCCACUAUCUAGGACAUCGCCAGUUACCAUGGCAAAGGGGAAGGAUGCUGCAAAGCAAAGCUUUUACAAUUUACACUCAGGAGUGACGCAAAUGCCCAGUUCAACAAGACAAGAAAAUGCCCUCCUACCACGUGCUCUCAGGGGAGAGAAACACAAAGGUCUCUGAACAGCCAGAAAGACCACCUCCAGGUGGUCCAGGUUUCGGGCUGAACCAACUACCCGGCCUUAAAUCUUCCUGCCAGCCCCACCCCACCCCACCCCUCGCCAGGCCAGGAGUCCCCCAGGGCUGGGUCCCAGCAUUCCUGGGGAAGAAGCCCAUCUAGGUCAGGGCUGUCACUGUAGACAUGCCGAGUGAGUGGUUCACUGUUGUCACCCCUGCUCCAAAGCAAGCGAAACUCCCCUCUCCCGCCGUGGUGGCCGUGGGAUGGUUAGGAAUCCAGGAGCAGCCCUGCAGCUGGGGAGACCCGCCAGUGCCCGUGAUGGGUGGCAACUAUCUGGGAACAAAGAAGGGGCUGACAUCAAGGUGAUUCUCCCCUGUGGCAGGGGACCAGGGGGGCUUGCAUGUUGGAGCUUUGGGGGUAGGGGGUAACCACUCAGUGUUCAGCUUGGGAAGGGGCUAGAGGGGUGACCGGUCCCCUGGAGCCAGAGCAGCAGGAAGCUGACCCCAGAGUGACCCAGAGUCUCUGCCUGGCACCCAAAAGCGGCCUGCCUUUAAAACUAGCAUGGAAAGGAAAUGAAAAAUGCCUGCCCAGGGCCACCCAGACCUAGAAGCGGUUUAUGAGGCAGUUUCAGGAAGAAGCAUGACUAAUGCUGUUAUUGCUCCAAGUACCCUGGCUGCGUGCCAGUGGCCCUGUCCCCACCCCGCCUCACAGUCAGGUGUGGGCCGAGACAAAGGGGCCUUCUGUGCACCACGGGGACAAAGACUCAGGGGAGCAGACAGGGUGUCAGGAGCUGGGGAACCCGCACCCCCACCCCAGCCGUGGGUGCAGCAAAUGACAGGGUGCAGCAAAUGACAGGGUGCACCCAGGGGGGUCCUCUGGCUGCCAAGGAUUAUUCAUUCCUGAAAAGAGAAGGAAUCCAAGCUCACAAGGAGCCAGAGGUAGGUGCGGGGACGUAUGGAGAGGCCCUGCCCUCUGCCCUUCCAGCCUGGUGCCCAAACACACGGCCCCCCGCCCCCACCUACAGGGCACAGGGCCCUUCACUGAACUCACCCUGUGCUGGGCCCUGACUUAUCUGCUACAUUUAUAUCCUAUUAGUUAAUUUGCCCUCAAAAAAAAAAAAAAAAACCCUCUUAAUAAGAAUCUAUUAUCUGCAGGUGACAGUGAAUGAAAUUAAGGCUCAGAGAGGUUAGUGACCUGCCCAAGGUCACACAGCUGAGGCUGAGAUUCAAAUGAAGGUCUGUCCCACCCCAAGGCCUGUCCCCAUUCCAUAAGCUACACCUAGUAGGGUUGCAGUAAAGGCCGCUGCCCUUCCGUGGAGCAGGGCUGGGAGCAGAGCCAGGUGAGUUUUACUGGCUUCUGGUGCGAAAUUGAACCCAGUGCCUAAACCUCAAGGAUGAGAGGUAGUAUUUCAAUGCGAUAUUUUAAAAAUUGAAAUUGAUGCAAAACAUCCAUGAUGAACCAAAUAGCAAAACAGAAAUAAAGCCAGGAUCCAGCCUGCCCAUGUGGGAUGCGAGGGUGAGCCCUCCAUCAGCUCGCCCUGGAUGUCCUGCCCCUCCCUGGUGGUUUGAUGUGCAUCUUGGGUGCAGAGCCUCCAAAACAUCUUCAUCCUGCCGACGGGCAUCCCCCCCACACACACAGCCGGAUCACCACAAACCUGCCAGAGGUCCCCGAAUCUUCUCCAGCCCAGUGUGGCCGGCACUGGACAAAACUCAAAGGUCUAAAGGUCUCCAUCCGCCUGGUUUCCCCCCAGUCUAAUGUCACAGCCGGCUCUCGAAGCACAUUUGCUCAUAGCUGGCUCUCAAAGCACAGAUUCAACCGAUGACUCUUCCAGGCUCAUGGUCCCCAGCCCUGCACAAGAGGCUCUAGACCUGCAGCAACCUGGGCCCCAUGGCCCAUGAAAGAGUUUUGGGGCUGGGCCCUGGCAUCUGGGUUCCUACAAGUGUGGCCAGGGCAGAGAAGCAAAGAUUGAGAGAAUGACUUAUUUGGGGCCACUUGGGGGUGGGAGGGUGAGCAGGGCUGCAUUUUCGUAGAGAACAUGUAAAAGCAAAAAAUCCUCGCAGACCCAAUUCUGCACUCGAAUGACAGGCUUCAGGCUUCAGUGGGUGAGCAAACAGGGCCUGCCAUCUCUCAACUUUCACGCACAGGCGGGCCUGACUCAGGGGAGCAGCCGAGACUUACAUCUUGGUUGUAUGUCAGCCACUCGAGGCCACAACAACACUAAGGCAAGUAAAACUGUGGCAGCCCCCAACCUUAGUUCAUUCAAUGGCUGGCAUGCCCAAAAGGUCCCACAAGGAACGAGUCACUGGAGAUCUUUGUGUCCCCAGCUCCCAGCACUGUGCCGACCCCAGAAAAGAUCUGCUGAGCUGAUGAACGAAGGACGCAUUGUUUUCAUCUCCUUUAAUCAGCUCUGUAAGGUGAGGCUGCACCUCACUUAUGCACCCGAAGGCUGUGCUGGCUGUGCCCUCACCCCCCAUCCACUCAGCCCCCUGCUCUCUGCCCUGUCUGAGCACAUCAGCGGCUCCCUUCUCCCCUGGUCCCUGGUUGGGUGUGGUCAAUGGGAGGCCUGGCCGUUCCCAGGACAGGUAAUAUGCAGUCAGGACCCCAAUGCUCACGCCCGCUCCCUGGGUUGUUGCCCCAGACUCCCUGUGCCCUGUACCCAGAGGUCACUGCUCCUCUCCAGAAGGUCUCCCCCUCUGAGGUCCUGGGGACCACUCCUCUCCGGAUCCCUCCAUCCUCCCAGGACCCAGGAUGCUACGCACUGUGUGGUUACCAGCCCGGGACACUGCUCCACCCAUUGAGGUUUUCCUACACCCUGCCUACACCUUUGUAAACAAAUCUUCGACAAAUUGCCCUAAUAUGAGUGUGGCCUGUGUUUCCCACAGGAUCCUGGAAGGGGACCGGGAGGGCUAAAACGAAAUUCCCUGAGGUCCCUCAGAGCUUUAAAAAUGCAAAUGCACUCCCUCUCUCCUUCCAAUUAAGUCCCUUAUUAGAAAGCGAGUUCUCUCUGAGGGAGGGUGGGUUGUAAGCAUUUGCAAACGUUUUAGCCUGUGUCUUCUGCAAACCUUCCCACCGUGGAAUCCCUAGGGGCAUUUAUGAAAAUGUAGAUUCUUGGGGGGAUAUCAGAUAUCUCCCGUCUGAGGCUGACCUCGGGGUGUGGGUUUUAACAGGCACCCCAAGCCCUACAAAUGCAGGAGGGCUGCCAACCAGCCUCAGAGGAAGCCAGCGGUUCCCAAAUUUCACGUGCAUCAGAGCCUCCCAGGGCUUGUUAAACACAGGCUCCUGCCCCCGUUCCCAGUGUUUUCUGUGGGUCUGAAGUGGGCCCAGGAAUCUGCAUCUCCAACAAGCUCCAGGUGGUGAGGAUGCCGCUGAUCCAGCGACCACACUUUGAGAGCCUUCGCUUUGAGAGGCUCAACCCCCACCGGGAAACACUGAGCCUGUUACUUUCCCCUCUCUGGACCGUUCCAACCAGACAACGGGCGUCCACAGACUCCCUGCAACUGGAGGGUUAAUUGAGGUCAGGUCACAGCUCUGUCAGGACAUCAAACCAACAUGUCAAGUGACAGUCCUGGGGCAGAUCUGAGCAUGCCAUUUGUUUAUAGGAGGGGCUUGCCAGUGGGGACCUGGCUGGAAUGGGGGUCAAAGACCUGUUUUGACACAUCUACUUCUUAGCAGGUGCAGUAUUUCUACUUAGAUUGUAUCUUAUUUGGGGAGGCUUAGUGUUGAAGGACAGGGUUGAUGGAGAUAAUUGGGGGGUGCUAAACCCCAAGCCACCCCUGGGCACUGCCCCUGUCCCUGGAGGGGGCAGGGAUAUCAGUCCAGGGCCAGAAGCUGGAGGUAAGAGAACAAGUGGUAAAGUUCCCAACACAGGAAUCCAGGCGAGAGGAUGACACCAGGGAAACAGAGGCAAAUAGGGGAGACGGCAGAGCCCUGCAGUCCCCGAGCUGGCCUGGGGGACCUCAGCACCCCUGUGUGCCUUCCCUUGAAGCUGUCAACAUUUCCUGGCCCCUGUCUCCAUCACUACGCCAGACUGGGGAUGGGGCGAGUGACAGCAUGGGGGGUGUGGAGUGAUAGAGUAAGGCCAUCAUGGAAGAUGGUUCUCAGGGUUGGUCUGGGGAUUGGGUCAGAAUAUAUGGAACCCAGCUGUUGCCUCCAUUUUGGGGUUCCUCUCACGGCAGGAGGUGUUAAAGGGGGCAGUAAACCCGGAGAAAAGAAGCCCCAGCUUAGCAAGAUGGGUUGAGCAAAGCAGAGGUGUGGCCCUGAGUCUCAUUUUGUCCUUCUCUCUGUACACACACACACACACACACACACACACGUACGUGCACACGCGCACACACAAUGCACACACACAGGCACACAAAUGCACAUGUACAUACACACAAAAACAUGCACACGCACACAUGCACAUAUGCACAAAUCCUCUGCGUGGCUGUGGUUGUCAUCAAUAUCUUUUACUAAACAUUUCUGGUUCUCCUUCUAGUCACAGAGCACAAUUGCACUUUCUAGGCCCCUUGAAAUUAUGUGCAACUGUGGGACAUGAUUUGAACAGUGAAAUGUGAACAGUAGUAGUGUCAAUUCUGGAAGAAAAUCUUAAAAGCCUGUCAGCGAUUUGCUGCAGUAUUUUCCCCUGUGUCCCACUGACCAGCCAUGUCCCAGUUGGAAUUUUCUCCAGCGCUUGGAUCCCAGAGAAAGGGCUACACAGAGCAGAGCCCCAGCCAAUCAGUGGUAAACAUUUAGACUGAGACUUAAAAACACGAACAACGCCCUUGCUGCUGCAAACACUGAGACCGGGGUUGGGGGGGGUGCAUUUUUCUCCACAGCAUAAUCUAGACUCUAGACUUUGCUCCCUGGCCCCAGCUACAUUUUCUCUGGGGCUAAGAAGGAACUGGAGAGACAUAAAGUUAGGGACACAGUUUCUCUGCACUUGGUGGGGACUGGUCGACACUGGGGAAAGACAGAGGAAAGCUUGAGACUCAGCUGCAACAACUGUCAGAAGGGAGUCGGCGCCAACGCUCGUGUCCUCUUGCCAAGUUAUGCCUCUAUUUGCUUGUGCAACAAACACUAAAUAAAAUCUAUGCAGCCUGGACCUAAGUGUGGCACCUGUCUUCAAAGGACAAGAAUGAACGGCACAGCCUCCAUUCCAGGGGGCCACAGUCGGUGGGGGGGGGCAUGUGGACACACAGUCACCGCACAAGUGCAAUUGGAGACACAAGUGCCCAGCGCCACGGGGAGCAGCAGGGAGGGGCCCUGCCUCAGGCGGCUGGAGGAGGCUCCACAGAAAAGGCGAUGGGAGAGCUGGGCUCCGAACACCAGCCAGACCCAGAGGUGGUUCUACUGAAAAUGUUUAACGAAUCAGAUCAGAAAUCCACGCCGUCUCGCCCAGGGACAGUCUGACUCUUGCCUUGGUACAAGGCGGUGGCACCUCCUUCCGAUUAAACCAGAACAGAGAUGAGUCCAGUGCAUUGUGCUCAUGACAGUGGAAAGCAUGUCAUUUCAUUGAAAAGACACGGGACUUCAGAUCAAGUGCCUGCCACCAUGUUGGUAAAAUCCUGUCCCCCAAAGUGACACUAACGGUCUGUGGAGCUUCUCUGGCCCUAAUUGCUUAGCAGUAGAAACUCUUUGGGUUGCUCCUCCUGCAAUCAGUCUCUCGGUCAUUACCACGAGCCCGAGCUGCCCAAGCCACAUACCAAGGGAGGUGGCGGCGGGUCAGGCUGAAAUGCCUGCGGCUGAUUUCAGUGCACGAAAGACCCCACUUACAGGUGAAACUCGGAGCAGGCGGGACAAACGGAUUCACACAGUUUAAAAACCAACAUCCGCUUGAAUAGAAAUAAAAGGGUUUGUUUCUGCAAAACUAACACAAUAACACCUUUAGACCAAAUCACCAAGUCUUGGGCAUUUUCAGCUCAACUUGCCCUGAGAGAAGUCUUGACUUCUUGGCGCUAAAAUUCUGUCACACAAAGAGAUGACAUCAGGGGACACCAAUGACCAAUGGGCAAGGCUCACCGAUGUUCUGCUCGUGCUACCAACAAGAGAAAAUUUUAACACAAAAUAAACCAAACCUAAAGGAAGUAACAGUGCCUCUCUCACUCUGAAAACACCAUAAGGAAGGCUCUGGAAGGGAAAAAAAGUCCAGUCGUCACUAGAGCUCUGUCUAGCACAUUGGGCUACUUCGAACUAUAAAAGUGCAAAGUUCCAUUACAGGCCCUGGACUGUCAUCCUAUGUUACUCUGAGUUGUGAUUCUUAUUGAACUGAUCUCUGGCCUGUUUUUCAGAGUUCCCGGGACCUGUGAGAGCAAUUUCAAAGCUUUAAAUUUAAUUUCCUUUAAAUGUUAGAACGUGGGACGGGAUGAGGGAGGUUCAUUGCUGCGCCCCCAGCACCCAGGACAGUGCCUGGCACACGGGAGCUGGUGUACACAUCCACUAAGUGCUGAUGGAACAGAAUGGGGCAUGUCGCCAGUAAUUCCUUUUCAGGCUGCAGUUUUCUGACUCGAUGUCCCAAUACACAUCCCAUGACCAAAUUCAUUAAUUCAGCAAAUAUUCUUGGAGCGCCAACCCCAAGCCCGUCUGGAGCUCUGGGGCCACAGUGGAGAGUGGGGCAGGCAAGCAGCCUCGUUAAAGACACAGUGAGGAACCCUGGUCUCCACCCUUGAGCUGCUUAUAAUAGGGUGAGGGAACAGAACAGAUCGGAAGCAAUUAGAAAACAAUUAAGUGUUAAAUUACAUGCCUCUCACUAGCCCAGGGGAAUCUCAGAGGGAGAAGAAGCUAGUGGAGUCAUUGCUGUUUUCCUGGAAGAGGUGGAUCUCUGGCUGGGCCCGGAAGAAGCUCUGGAUUUGAGAAAGCAGCGCAGAGCAGACAGAGUAGACUGUGUCAGCCAAGGCAGCUAUGCACAGCCACCCAAGGAAAACCAAGCCCGUGGAUGUCCGGGUACACCCAGGACUAGGACCACUCCCAAGAGCUUGGAGACUCUCCAAGGACUUGGGAGAGUCUGGAUUGGACUUCAGAAAAAACUCAGCUGCUGCUACAGCUUCCCUUUCUCUAAAGCGGGACCUGAGAUUAUUUCCUUCCGGCCGGCCACUCUCUUAGAAGAUAAGCUGGGGUUUCUUCCACUUGCUGGCCCAGCUGAUGGUACCAGAGUCCCCAAGGGACCUCUGUUCCUGGCCCCACCACCAGAGUCUCUGAUUCAGUGGGUCUGGGAUGGGAUCCAGGAAUCUGUAUGUUUUUAAAGCUCCCCAGGCGGUUCUAUUAAUCAGCUUGGUUUGGGAACUACUCUCUUAGAUUAAUUUCAAAGACAUUCCCUUUCUGAGAUUAGGAUGAAAGGGUGAGCAUAUAAUCACCAAGGCAGUAGGUAUGAUUUAUGACUACAAAUCCUUCCAACAGAUGACCUGGAGACGUCACACGGAAAGAAGUCAACGCAACACUUUCCACUCCCGUGACCUCCUCAUUGAGUCCAAAUGGUCAAAAUUUGGCUGAAAUGAAUUAAAUUUUGCCUUUAUGGCACAGGCACAGGCACAGGCACAGGCUGAUGAAUGAACACGAGAGAUUUUCUUUUUAUUUAAAAUAUUAGGAAGCUGAAGCUCUCCGUGAAUUGGAGCUAAACUAGAUUAAUGUACUGAUUUUCCUUAUUUAGCUAUGUCAGUGUGUGUGUCCAGUGCUUGAAAAAUGUCCACUCAGGUCUCAGAUGUUCCAAGCAUAAAACCAGGAACUGUGAGUUUCCUGGAUCACACACACUGCUCAGAGAGUAAGACCGCAUCCGCCAGCCUUAAGAGGAUGGAGAGGAUGGUUCGGGGCCCAGUUUUUGAUGCUUAUUAAUGUUUCAAGGUAUUUUCCUCCUCUUGGACUCACCUAGCGAAUCCCUGGUUCCAUCUUUUAUAUGUAGCUAAUUUGCAUACUGCCCUGGGGAUGGGUUUGCAUUUUGCUCUCUUUGUCUGGGUGUACAAUUCUUCUUAUUGUCAACAGGAGUUAUGUGCUCAAACAGAAGGCUUAAAAUAUAGCUGCAAAUUCCUUCCUGGCCAACACACACGUGUACAGGUAACAUGCAUGCUCUCCUCAUCUCACUGUGUUCUUGACCCUUGCUUAAUCCAGGACACCAGAGUCCAAUUUAUUUGUGUUAUUUCUAAAAUCUGACCAAAGUUCCCCCGAGGUCAUCACAGGAUGUGGAAAUUAACUAGUCUCUCCCAUACUGAAGCUGUACUGUUUUCUGAGGUCUUAAUGGCUCAGAGGAUGUAGUUAUUCUCUGAAGACCUAACUGUACGACCUAGUUUAUUAUUCGUUCAAGAUUAGUUCUGAAUCGCUGGGAGCAAAUCUCAGUGUCUACAUCACUCUUAGAGCAGGUUAUCACGCGAUGGGACCUACUUCUCUUCCGAAAUGUGUGUCUAUAUUGUUUAAGUAAAUAGCCAGCCCAAUAAUUAUCAUGGCGUUACGGUGACACUGGACAGAAGAACCAUCACAACUGCACACACCAGAGAGCUCAGUCGUAAAUAUUCCACAUCAUUAUCACUAUGAUGUCACUGCAAUUUCAGCAUCCGCCUCAAUGACAGCUUAGGGUUCAAGAUUUACUUCCAUGAGAACUGAUAGGUGCAAAAGGCAGGGCACAAACACCAGGGCUAAUUAUAUCUACGGUCAUGUUACAUUAGUCAUAAUCCUACAGGAAAGCAAACAUCAGACUUGCUAUUAAACUGACAGGCUAUUCGCGCUAGACCCCGUCUCCCCGGUAUACGUGCCUUGGAAGGUUCGGAGCGCAUUUUCCUGUUGGAAUUCUACUCUGUGGCGUCAAACAUCUGCUUUUUUUCCAGAGCAACCCAUUUUCGAUUAUUCUGGUGAGUUGGCACAGACAUCAAAGGCCCUUCCUGGAGGCCAUUCAGUUGCUUUCUGCACCAGGUGAGUGUGGAUCAGGCAGGCACCGUGCGAGUGGCUGAGGAUCCAAAGAGGCAGCUCCUGGUCUCGAGGAGCCCUGGGCCAAUGAGGGAGAGGUGGGGGGUGUGCUAAGCACAAAUCCAGAUGCGUAAUCCCAGGCUGGGCUCAGUGUUAGCACAGAUGCAAUGGCUCUCUGAGAGCACGUGACACCCCGCCUGGCCUGAACUGAGAGGCCAGGGACACUCUGGGCCAGGAAGGAGAGGGUGAGGUAGGAACAGGGCCCAGGAUGUGCUGGGAAGGACUCAGGCGUCUCCCAAGCAGGAAGAGCCAAGAAAGGUGCAGGUGGGGCCUGAUGCGAUGCAGCCAGGCGUCCCCUUCAAGAACCCGGGCUUGGUCCUAAAGGCAACUGGAACCCAUAACGGCUUUAAGAAGGGGUGACUCUUCAGAUUUACACAGAGAAAUUGGGUUUAGGUGGCAGUUCAGAGGAAGUGUUGGAGAGGCGCCAAAACAGAGGACAUUAGUUAGCCACGAGGGCUUAGUAUCGAGACUAGGAAAGUGGUCGGAGCACAGACGGAAACAGCGGAUGGAAGCAAGUGCCCUACAGGAGAUGAAAUCCAAUGGCACUGGGCAUAAACAGAUUUCUGAGCAUGGGGGCAGGAGCGUCGGUAAGGCCCCCUGCCCUUCCAAGUUGCAUAACUUGAAGAAUGUGGCCUCGCUCACCAGAAGUGGACGGGAUUUGCAGGACAGGGUGAGAACAAAACGUCGGAGGGGUGAUGCUGAGCAGCCAUGUGGAGACGUGGGCUAGAGACACAAACGGGGAAUUACUUCAUCAUCGUCUGCAUGGUCAUGGCUGUCCUGGGCACGGAUGAGUGAGAUGAGAGAGAAAAGAAAUGAACCCCAAGUUUCUGGAAAACGAUUCUGAAAUACAGAGAGGAUGUGAGUCACAUUACCUCACAUCCAGCUUCCUAAAUCUCACAUCCACACGGUUUCAUAGUUCUAGGUGACCCAUUAGGACUUUAACAGCUAAGUUGAAGCAUCAUUGUCAUUUCAACACCGGAGAAAACUUAGGGAAAAGGCUUCGUUUGGGCAGACCGCCAGUAACACUGGCUUCUGCUGUUUAAAAAGCCACAGAUCACCAAGUUGCAAACAAAGGUGCUUACAGGCACCCGGGAUUGUUCGGAGAGAUGGCAGCAGGGUCAAAGGCAGGCUCAGCGUCUGCUGUGAAGGACAUCAAAUGCGCCCCAAAGUUUUAUUUUCAGGGCUCUUCCACACAAAAUCAAGGAAGUUUGCCCAAGAUUACUGCUCCUUUAUCUUGCUUACUCAUUUUGUUAACCUCCAUCAAGCAGGUCCAGGAUACAUUUGACCUUGAGGCAAAGAUCGUUAUUUUUACUUAUCAGCUCCCUGAGAACAUGUCGAUGGAGGUAGAGUGUGAUUACUAGCCUCUGGCCUCUGUGUCCCCUUCCCAGAUUUUGUACCCAGAAGAGCCCAGGUCCAAUGGCUCCCUUCCAGACACCAAGGAAACAGCAUGGCAUCAUGAGCUGACAUCUCCUAAACCCAGGACAGCUGAGGCCAGCCCAAGGCCACCUCUGUACCCCUACCCUCUCUGCACUAGUUAUGGUCCAUCUUCAGACAUGGCCUUUCAGCUCACACAAAGCACUGGUUUGGGGCCAUCAAGGCUGAGCAGCAAACACUGCAGAGAGGGCCUGGGUAAAACCCACUUUUCUAGCCCGUCUGUUCCAAGAGUGUGGGGUGACCAUGGCUGUAGGUGAGAGGGCCAGGGAUCGGCUACGGGGUGGCCCCAGGGGAGUGGGGGUGCUGGUCUUCAGGAGGCUGGAGCAACAAUCCACCAAUUCAGCUCAGAGCCAGACAGAUGCUGCUACUAUCUGUCUAGUCUGGGUUUCCCUGAAACAGAGCCCCACACUGGGAACGUGGGUCUGGUGUGUUUCUUUAGAAGAUGGCCCCGGGAAGAAGGAGGAAGGGAGCCAGGGAAGAAGGGCAAGCCACUGAAGGGGGGGUUACGGCUGUGACAACAGGCUCACCGGAGGCGCCUUGGGGAUAAUGUAGGUGGGUCUAAAGGAUGGGGAGCUCCCAUUCUCCGUGUCUGGGGGACACCCCAGGGCACCUUAACUACUCCACACUUCAGAUCUGCUGUGGAACACUGUUGGCAAAUUUCCACAGCCUCGAAGAAAACGCAGAGACUGGCAAGCAGAGAGCCGCUCCGGCAGCAGAGGCGGGACACUGUCUCCCCCAAGAGUGCUUUGUGGCUAAACGUGGAUCUGAGGCUACAGUCAGCUCAAUCCCUGUUGUGUGCAGGACACCUCAGCUCUCUUGGGCCUCCGUUUCCCCACCUAUAAAAUCAGGGUGAGCAUUAACACCUAACUCCUGGGGCUGUUGCCAGGAUUAAAACAAAAUGUGUUGUAAGAACACCCUUAACAUGUUCGAACACGCUUUACAGUGUAAGGAAUAAACCUUGAAGAUGGGGAAUCAGGCUCUUUUGCCAAUAAAAUGUGAAGCGGUACAACCCCUGCUGAGAGGACCUUGGCAGUAGCUAGCAAAAUUACAUAUGCAUUUGCCCUUUGAAGCAGCAAUUCCAGUUCUAAGAAUUCUUUCCAAAGAUAAGCUGGCAAAAAUAUAAAAAGAACUAUGAAAAGACAAAUGUGUGAAACAAUUUUUUAAAUGCCUACAUUUUGAAAAAGCAAAAGCAAAUUGAAACAAACUUUGCUCCAUAACCUCUUGCUGGCAUAACCACACCAACAGGAACGGGACCAGGAAAGGACCACACCAUAUUUUCUUGCGUAUCUCUAGUGGGAUGUGUAACCUAA